GCUUCUCCUGUUAUGAUAUGUAUGGGUCCUAUGAAAUCCACAAUCAUCUAAAAUCUGAUUCCAAAAUUCUUCCAGGAGCCAUUAGCUGUUCAAUUUUAAAAGUAACUUGUUUCUAAUGUCAAAAUCAUAAUAUCACCGAGGUGAUGGUUUAAUUGGUAAAAACGUAUCUAUUUUACCUGUUUGAUUCAUGUUUAACUCUUUAAAUUUGCAACUCUUUACAUCUAAUGUUUCUAUGCAAUAGUCUCUCUGCAAAGCGGGGUAAGACUAUCUUUUAUGCUCAGUUAGAUUCAAUCAGGUUUACGGGCUAUUUAUGGUCCAGCGGAGGUUAGCAUCAUCCACACAGGGACAGGGUGGAGUAUUCUAUAGUCAAAAUGACCAAAAACUAUGUGAGAUUUGCAGCUUUUAUGGGGUGGCGUAGAAACAAUUGAUCCUGCUGCACCAUCAAAGGCACAUGCCAAGUCUCAGAAACCUCUCCACAGACACAAGAAUAUUUAGUGUUAAAAAUGAUAUUUCUGGCAAUGCAAAUUGAAAGACAAAGAACAAUCGAUGAAAAGGAAAGACAGCUAGAAUUAAUCAGAAAUGCAUGGAGAGUGGACAAACCUAAUUUCAAUUUUGGAUUGUUUGGUCACCAAAUUCAACCAUUCCUGUUCAAGUGACACUUAAAAGGCCCUUGACUUUGGAAUAUUUUCCUUUCUAAUUCUGUUUCUUUUCCUUAUAUGUGAUCAUUGGAGCCAGCAGAUAUCCAGUUAAAAAAAAAAAGAGUAUGGAAAUUCUAUGGUCACUGCUGAUUCCUUGGCAUAUUCCAGAUGAUUAUGAAAAUUUUGCAAGAGACUAAGACACGCCAAGACAAAACGAAGUAGCAUUAGCACUAAGGUCGAGCAGGCCCCAGGAGUAUGAGUCCGAUCCAAAAAGAAAGCAACUAUAAGCGCAACAGUUGGCGGGGAUGAGAAAAUCACUUGCAUUACGUCAUUGAACUGGAAGCAAAGAAAUCACAAGAGCUUCAUCAUUGAAUUAUGAAUCUGAAAUUGUUUAAUGAGCUAUAUUUUACACAAUUAACAGAAAGCUACAUUUGAAACACACGUACCCAGGUGGUUCCUGUGUUAACAGGUCCAUGACCAGAAAGAAAAACGUAUUCCUUGAAGUAUUGAGGCACAGAGAGGCCCAUGAAGAGAGAAAAGCCUAGAAUGAGCAUUGAUCUGAAGCUAUUCACGUUACAGAACUCGAGAUAUUGAAGCCCAGCUGAAGCUGCAAUAAGUGCUCAUUACGUUGAUUUUCAGCAAUAUUCAGUGUUCUAAAUGAUCAAGUUGAAAGAGAUUGUUAGGAAAUUCAUCAUCACUUUCACUUGUUUCUAUUCUCUUGUAAAAAUCCAUCUGAUUAUCACAGUAAACAUUACUUUGCAACUAUUUAAUUAAUGAAAAUGCAAAAUUCAUCUA